rnacentral:lncRNA from 1 species
CAUAUUUGCUUGCGCCGAUGACGGCUCGGACAAUCCCCGGAAACGCCGUGAUGGAGGCGGUGGUGGUGGUGGUGGUGGGUGUGGAGAUAGUGGCGGUGGCGGUGGCGGUGGCGGCGGCGGUGGCGGUGGGUGUGGUGGCGGCGGUGGUGGGGGUGGGUGUUAGAUAUAUAUAUAUGUAUGCUUUGUGGAUGUUGUGAAACGAUGUUAGGUCAACUUAAAAAUGAUUUUGAAUAUUUGAUUAAUUUGCUGUUUUAUAUAAUAAGGAAUACUCAGAUGUAUGAAUUUAUAAUAUACUUGGCCUGCUGCAGUUAGCCUAGUUUGUAUAUAUAUGUAACAUAUUGAAUGAAUAAAGUGCCUUCCUUGUGUUCUAUUACUGUUAUUUCUCAAUCUCCUAAUAAUAAAGUGACUUUCUUUUGGCAUUGGAAACAAC